AAGCUAUCGAUAACACUAUCGUGAUAAAGGAUAUAAUCAAUAAUGUAUUUGUAAUAAAAAUAAGGAACGCUUACUAUCGUAAAUUAUAUCCGUGAUACGGUAGAAAAGUGCACAGUGUUUAUUCCGGAAUAAAACAAGAAAUAGAAAUGCCGCCUCCACACGCGUUGCCGUGUGGCCCCAACUGCAGAAAUGGAUACUGCGCUCCUCAUUGCUACUUCAAGGACCAUCCCCCACUACCCCCACACUUACAAACAUACUGCCCACCCCCCUAUAGCUCACCACAGUUCCACCCGGAACACUAUCCUCAUCCUCCUCACCAUAAUCCACCCCCACAUCAUCAUCCACCACCACACCAUCAUCCUCCCCCACACCAUCAUCCUCCACCACAUCAUCAUCAACCUCCUCAUCAUUAUCCUCCCCCUCCUCAUCAUCAACCCCCUCACCCGCCGCAUGAUCCGUAUUAUAAUUCAGCACGGAGGUAGUCUAAAUCUGCGGCAAAUAUUAAUGAAAAAUGAAUUAAGAGUACUUCUUUAUAAUGUUUUUGUUAAGUACUUUUAUCUAUUUAACAAUACCGUAUUACGAUAAGAUCACAUUAUAAAAAUCAACAGAUGGCUUAUAAAGUUUAAUAGCAUCGCAUGAAUUGACGUCUACUUCAUAAAAUUUUAGUACUGACAUUAAAAAAUUUAACUACAA